GCGAUCCCGGAGGGAGCGCGCCAGGCCUGGCGCGCACCCGACCCCUUGCGCGUUCCGGCUCCGCGCGCCUGCCAGGCCGGGGCCGGCGGCGGAACAGCUUGGGACCCGAAACGCCUCGGCUUUUCUGCGGACCCGCGCCCGGCCGCUGCCGCCGGACGCUUGAAAAGGAAGAAGAGGAUUUAUCUGACUCAACUGGAGAUGGCUCCCUUCCCUUAUUUAUUGUUGCAUCCUGAAGCUUCCCCCAUGCUGGGCUCAGUGUGAACAAACAGCGCGGGAGAAUGCAACCACUGCAGAGGUACAAGUUCACAGAGGCAGAGCCGCCCCUCGACUGGGCCAGAGGCAAAGACAAACCCCAAACUCUUUCUUGUCAUUCAUUGAAUUUUGCUGAACCUGGAAAGGAAAUAAAUUCCAAAGGCAGGAAGUGACCCAGAGACCAUAACAAUAUGUGAAAAGCUUAGCCGGUGCUUCCGCCCCUUUGUUUCAAACUAUUCUAAUCUGUGUCCCAGGAAGCCUAGCCCAUGG
ensembl:lncRNA MAP4K3-DT MAP4K3 divergent transcript